GGCAUGCCUUACACAUGCAAGUCGAACGGUAACAGGUCUUCGGACGCUGACGAGUGGCGAACGGGUGAGUAAUACAUCGGAACGUGCCCAGUCGUGGGGGAUAACUACUCGAAAGAGUAGCUAAUACCGCAUACGAUCUGAGGAUGAAAGCGGGGGACCUUCGGGCCUCGCGCGAUUGGAGCGGCCGAUGGCAGAUUAGGUAGUUGGUGGGAUAAAAGCUUACCAAGCCGACGAUCUGUAGCUGGUCUGAGAGGACGACCAGCCACACUGGGACUGAGACACGGCCCAGACUCCUACGGGAGGCAGCA
rnacentral:rRNA from 1 species